UUCUUGGAAUUAACUAAUACAAUAUUCUUGGUUUGAAUUGAAAUAUGAGCUUCAAGAAACACACAGACCUUUCUUUUAUUUUCUCAUGUUGAAUGCACUGAGUUUUUUUUCCUUUUUUUAAAAAAGCUUUAAAAUGUUUUUGUUCUUUGUUUCAACAUUCUCUCUACAUGAUUGCAAUUUGUUGUCUGGCAUUUGUCUUAACCAAUUAAAAUUAUUGUCUGAAAAGCCACAAGUGCCCAUCUAUUUUCCUUUUGCUGCAAGUUUCAGAAUGACAAAGAACAACGCGGUACUUUAUCAAGCCUUUCAAUUGAGAGGUUAGCUUGCAUAAUUAAACCUUAUUUUAUUUUGUUUUUGUUUUUAGGGUUUUACUCUCCAGCCUGAUUACCAGAAUAUUAUCAAUCCAGCAUCUGCAGCUGCACAAGUUGUUACCCAAGCAAUGGAGUAUGUUCGUUCAGGGUGCAGAAAUCCCCCAGCACAGACUGUGGAAUGGAAUAAUGAUUACUGCAGUAAUGGGGCCAUGCAGAGGGACAAAGCGCUGUAUCUUACCUGAAAAUAUUUUGGAAAUGCAUCUCUUCUUUUCUCUGAGGAAUGCAGGAAAGUCUUUUUCAUCAUGGAUUGCUUUAUGCAGUCAAGGCAGUUCUGCAUUUAUUUAGAACAUAUAAAGUCGCUAAGCACUUAGGACUAUAUUUGCUGGUGGGUCAUUCACUCUGGGAAAAAAAUGUCUUGUUCCUCCACCCCUCCUUUCUUUUUCUUUCUCCUUCCUUAAAUGGACAUUGCUUUUCUUCCUUCCUUGCAGGAGGAGGAUUGGACCAUUUGGAUUUUGUUGAUUUUUAUUUUUGCUGUGAAGUGCUGCGCUAGUAACUGCCUUAGCAACUGUAGAUGUCUUGGAUAAAAGUCCUGGAUUUUCCAUUGGUUUUCAUAAUGGGUGUUUAUAUGAAACUACUAAAGACUUUUAAAAUGGCUUUAUGUAGCAGUCAUAGCAAGUUGUAAAUAGCAUCUAUGUUUCACUCUCCUAGAGUAUAAAAUGUGAAUGGUUUUUGUAGCUAAUUGUACUUUGAAACUGGCUCAUUCCAGUUUAUUGAUUUCACAAAGGGGGUUAAAUUGGCAAACAUUCAUAUUUUUACUUCAUUUUUAAGCAACUGACUAAUAGUUCUAUAUUUUCAAACUCUGAAAAGAUGAAAAUUAUUCCCAAAUGAUUUUAAUUAAACAGAAAUUGGCUUUGUGUCAUUAUACAAAGAAAAAAGUGAUAUUGGGAAAAGAGCAAACACAUUUAUUUUGUACUGCCUAAAACUGCUUUUUUAUCACUUUAUGUGUAACAGUUAGUAAAUGUCAUUUAUGUCCUCUUAUGUAUAAAACUGCCAAAUGCUUUCUUGAUAUUUUAUUAUAUGCAGAAACAGAUUGGAAACAGCUAAAUUAUAAUCUUUACAUAUGGCUCUGUAUUAUUGUUUCUUCAUCCUGUGUCUGUAUUUAAUCUUUUUUAUGGAAGCUGUUGCGCCUAUUUAUGAAAUAAUAAAUAUAGGUGUUUGUAAGUAAAUUUGUUAGCAUCUUAAAAAGGAUUUUUUUAAAAAAAAUUACUUUUGUGGGCAUCAGUGUAUUUGCUGCUGAUAUGAUUUUUUUUCCUGUGAGAUAAAUAAAGCCAACCAGCUUUUGUGGCAGAAAAUGGAAAUAAAAA